UCUGAGACUAGGGCCCAAAAUGUCCCUAUCAGGGACCCCCUGAGCUUCCAGGAGGUGAGUCUCCAGAGAACAGGGCUCCAUGUAAUGAUUUAACUUUUGCUAAAGAGGUUAUGCCUGAAAAAGGAUCCUGUCAGCCAUUUCAGUGGAAGUCAGGCUUGGAAAUGCAG
rnacentral:sRNA from 1 species